UACGUAGGGACCGAGCGUUGUCCGGAAUCAUUGGGCGUAAAGAGCGUGUAGGCGGCUUGCUAAGUCUUGCGUGAAAUCUCGGGGCUCAACCCCGAGCGGUCGUGGGAAACUGGCAGGCUAGAGUGCGGGAGAGGAGAAUGGAAUUCCUGGUGUAGCGGUGAAAUGCGCAGAUAUCAGGAAGAACACCCGUGGCUAAGGCGGUUCUCUAGUACGGUACUGACGCUGAGACGCGAAAGCGUGGGGAGCGAACAGG
rnacentral:rRNA from 1 species